CCUACGGGAGGCAGCAGUGGGGAAUAUUGCACAAUGGGGGAAACCCUGAUGCAGCGACGCCGCGUGAGUGAAGAAGUAAUUCGUUAUGUAAAGCUCUAUCAGCAGGGAAGAAAAUGACGGUACCUGAGUAAGAAGCCCCGGCUAACUACGUGCCAGCAGCCGCGGUAAUACGUAGGGGGCAAGCGUUAUCCGGAUUUACUGGGGGUAAAGGGAGCGUAGAAGGCAGUGCAGGUCUGGAGUGAAAGGCGGGGGCUCAACCCCCGGACUGCUCUGGAAACUGUACGGCUGGAGUGCAGGAGAGGUAAGUGGAAUUCCUAGUGUAGCGGUGAAAUGCGGAGAUAUUAGGAGGAACACCAGUGGCGAAGGCGGCUUACUGGACUGUAACUGACGUUGAGGCUCGAAAGCGUGGGGAGCAAACAGGAUUAGAUACCCCUGUAGUC
rnacentral:rRNA from 1 species